GCAUGCCAGCGAACGAAGAUUCCACAUGCCAUAUCUUAUGACUUGAGCAGCCGCCGCCGAGAGUCCAUCGCUGGCCACCACACGACAUGGCACGCUGAUAAGGGACAAAGAAUAGAGAGCAUUGAUCGAAGGCUCUCAGUGAUUUCAAUUGAAUCCUUUCCUCUCACUUCGCUGCUGGUCGUCACCGCUUCCCAAUCACCACCCGUUCCGCUGCCGCGAAGAAGUUCUGUAAUGCCGGAGUGCUCGAACUUCAAUCAUGGCUGCCUGCUUCGACGAUUCCUUGAUGUUGCUUCUGUUAUCUCCUUACUUAUGUCCGAAGUCAAUUGCUAUAGGUAAUCGUUCUUCAUUCAACUAAACCACAUGUGCUCUGUUAGUUACUGUCUGUGUGCAAAUCGUAAGUGAUUGAGGUUGUAUUAAUAAUUUGAACCGGUGCUUCUCAGCCGAAAUGUGUACCACCUGUUUGAUGAAAUCCCUGAACUAAGUCGGUGUGUAUUUUUUAUUCAGUUCUUGACCAAGAAUUCCUUUGAUUACUAGAUUGUUGAUCUAUUCUGAUCUAUUAUGGUCAUA